rnacentral:rRNA from 1 species
GCAUGCGCUGCUAUAAUGCAGUCGACGAGGUGCUUUGUAGCAAUACGAAGUAUCCUAGUGGCGAACGGGUGAGUAACGCGUUGGUGACCUACCCCAAAGUGUGGGAUAACAGUCCGAAAGGAUUGCUAAUACCGCAUGUGGUCUCUGGGUUUAGAAACCGGUGACUAAAGGAGCAAUUCGCUUUGGGAGGGACCUGCGUCCCAUCAGCUAGUUGGUGAGGUAACGGCUCACCAAGGCGACGACGGGUAGGGGACCUGAGAGGGUGGCCCCCCACAAUGGAACUGAAACACGGUCCAUACACCUACGGGUGGCAGCAGUAGGGAAUAUUGGUCAAUGGGCGAAAGCCUGAACCAGCAACGCCGCGUGUGCGAUGAAGGCCUUCGGGUCGUAAAGCACUUUUCUGGGAGAUGAGAAAGGACAGUAUCCCAGGAAUAAGUCUCGGCUAACUACGUGCCAGCAGCCGCGGUAAAACGUAGGAGGCGAGCGUUAUCCGGAUUCACUGGGCGUAAAGCGCGUGCAGGUGGCUUGGUAAGUUAGGCGUGAAAUCUCCCGGCUCAACUGGGAGAGGUCGUCUAAUACUACCGGGCUUGAGAGCAGAAGAGGAAGAUGGAAUUCCCGGUGUAGUGGUGAAAUGCGUAGAUAUCGGGAGGAACACCAGUGGCGAAGGCGAUCUUCUGGUCUGUUUCUGACACUCAGACGCGACAGCUAGGGUAGUAAACGGGAUUAGAGACCCCGGUAAUCCUAGCCGUAAACGAUGUAAACUUGGCGUUGGUGGGUUAAACUCCAUCAGUGCCGCAGCAAACGCGAUAAGUUUACCGCCUGGGGACUACGGCCGCAAGGUUAAAACUCAAAGGAAUUGACGG